rnacentral:rRNA from 1 species
CCUACGGGUGGCAGCAGUGGGGAAUAUUGCACAAUGGGCGCAAGCCUGAUGCAGCGACGCCGCGUGAGGGAUGACGGCCUUCGGGUUGUAAACCUCUGUUAGCAGGGAAGAAGAGAGAUUGACGGUACCUGCAGAGAAAGCGCCGGCUAACUACGUGCCAGCAGCCGCGGUAAUACGUAGGGCGCGAGCGUUGUCCGGAAUUAUUGGGCGUAAAGAGCUUGUAGGCGGUUUGUCGCGUCUGCUGUGAAAGGCCGGGGCUUAACUCCGUGUAUUGCAGUGGGUACGGGCAGACUAGAGUGCAGUAGGGGAGACUGGAACUCCUGGUGUAGCGGUGGAAUGCGCAGAUAUCAGGAAGAACACCGAUGGCGAAGGCAGGUCUCUGGGCUGUAACUGACGCUGAGAAGCGAAAGCAUGGGGAGCGAACAGGAUUAGAUACCCCUGUAGUC